UAGUUCAGGUCUACGUAAAAGAUAACAUUGCACUUAACGUGAAGAACAUGUCCAAUUCAUCGACAGCCUAACUAGGUAUAGACUAGGGUUGUUCGCAGUAAAGAAAAACAUACGAAAGUUUCGCAUUUUUAUCUUCCGUAUUUCAAAUUGCUAUAGCGCAUAUUCACAAAAUUCUACAAGCGCAAAUUCACCUUCCGUAACGUAUUAUACCGAAAAAUAUAUAAUAAUUCCAUAAUAACCCUUUACGAAAAGAAACUUUCGAAACAUAUCAUUUCGAAAGAAUACUUGCAAGUUCCUUACUGAAGGUGCGUUUCGGAAUGUGCGCUUACGUUCCGACUUCGGUUUUCUUCUGAAUUUCGGUUAUUUAUUGUCUUUGGCUUAGCAGAAAUGGAGGCAUUUUAAUAUGGGAUUGUCCAUAAAGUAAAGUACGUUCGGAUGGAGAAGAUCCCUUCAUUUGUAAACCUCACCCGGCGGGUCUGCAAAUAGUGGAUAUGAAUAGGAGCAGGGAGUCAAUUAUAAAGGUAAAAAAACAUUAAAUUAAAAAAAAUAUCAUAAAAUGUUGUGUAGGUAGGUUAAAAGCGUAGAGACUUUUAGGGAAAUGGAGAGUAUUCAAAAAGCGUAUAGCAAAAUGCGGUGGAGGGGAAGAAAUUGAAGCAAACUUUUAGAAACCUUUACAUAAGUGAUUACUGCAAGUAAAAUUAGGCAAAGCUCCAGAUAUGCGGUUAAAAAUAGUUUUAUUUUAUUGCUUGUUGCGGCUUUCGUGUGGAGACCUGCCAUAAGUCAGGGGUAGCCAGACUUUUUAGGGUACAGGCAAAAAAAAGUUAAAAAACAAUUUUGCUGGCAAAAAAGAAUUUAUUUCUACAAAAAUAUAGGUGACUAAUAACUAUUAUAAUCAUUUGUAUCAAAGCAAUAUAGUUAUUAAGAGUAAUGAAUUUGACCGUCUGAAACUAGUUUUUUGAUGUCUAGAUUGAUUUUUGAAGUAGAUAAAAGUAUCACAUUACCAAGAUGGUUGUCUUCUAAAUAUCCAAAUUAAUUAACGGGCAUUUAAAAAAAUCUCUGCGGGCAUUUUUUCCCGCGGGCAGUGGUUUUAAUAUAAACAUAAAAAAUAUUUAUUGACUUUAGUACAUACAUCGACAAUUUUAUAACUUGCUUCUACAAGGGAGUGCUGCUACAUCCAUUUUCUUAUAGCAUGCUGCUAAAAAAGGAGUGUUGCUACAUUGACUAUCUUAUAGGCUGCUUCUAUAAGAAAUUGCUACUACAUUGACGUCAAUGUGGUAACAAUUUCUUAUAUAACCCUGACGGGGCAUUGAAGAGCUAUGGAUAAAAAAUACGAAAUUCUUAACAAAUACAACAUAAUUUUAAGUAAAUCUACAGUCUAGCGUUCUAAUAUAAUUCUAUUUUUUCACUUGUUGGGGUCUCGUUAGUGGAAAUAUUUGAACAUUAGAAAUUUUAAUUAAAAUAAAAAAAUUGCUCCCCUAUGCCAAAUCAUCAGUCAUGACUGAUGAUUUGACAUAGGGGAGCCAUUUUUUUACAAUAUAAUACAAUACAAAUACAAUAUAAUUUUAAUUAAAUCUACAGUCUAGUAAGAUAUUGCUACUACAUUGACGUCAAUGUAGUAGCAAUUUCUUAUAUAGGGGAGCCAUUUUAGCAAUUUCUUUCUAGGCUGUAGAUUCACUUAAAAUUAUAUUGUAUUUGUUAAGAAUUUUGUAUCUUCAAUGCCCCGUAGAACAAUGAUUUUUUGAAUUAAUUGAUACAGUUUGUGUCACAUGUCUUACAUAAAUAAAGUAUAAAAUAAAUUCCGGCAUUCCGGCCGGAAAUAUUGUAUCUCUGGCCGGAACCGGAAUAACCUAAAAAAUUAAUCAAAAUCCGACCAGAAUUCCAACCGGAACGGAAUUCCGGUAAAUCUCUAUUUGAAAGUUGAAACUAAUAUUUCUGCAUAAUAUUAAACAUUAUAAAAUUAAGCAUAUUUAAAAGCAUAGGGUGUUACUGGUUUCUUUGUUCAUCUUGUAUAAUACCUGCUACACUAUAUAAACUUUAGGAUGCUACUGAAGUUGCUCUUAAGCUUAAAAUCAUUUUACAAGCUAGCAAUAUAAAUUUAUAGGUGUCACCUUCAGUUUGAUAAAAAGCCAUACACCCAUUUUCUUUUAUACUUAAUUAGUUUUUCUCAUUAACUAUCAUUAAAUGUCCAUCAUACUUUUCGAGUUCCAAUUCUAUUUUAUGAAUUUGAUCCACUAACAGAUUUGUACAUGGUUUUAUGAAAAGUUUAUCCGUUAAUUGUGUAAUGAAAAUAAUAUUUUCAUGUCUCGGUACAUUUUCAUAACCCGCAUUAUUUAGUAAGCGGUUUGAUAGAGUUUAUGUUGUUA
rnacentral:lncRNA from 1 species